GCCUUCACAAUUCUCAAUCAACUACUAUCUUCCUUCCUAGUUCAAAUUUGCUGAACAAUCGAAUUUCCUUUUUCAAUUUGUUGUACAUAUACUGUCUCUUAAAGCCCUCGCCUUCACCAUUCCCAAGCAACUACUAUCUUCCUUCCUAAUUAAAUUUUGCUCAUCAAUUAAAUUUCCAUUUUCAAUCUGUUGCACACAUACUUAAAACAUUUGAGAGAGAAGGGGCCUGAAAUAAUGAAACAUGCCCAGAACGUAGAAAUUAGUCUUGUAAGUAUCAAUUUCAUCAAGAAUCCGAAAAAUCUUGUUAUUCUCCCAUUAUCGUUGCCACUUUUGCUCUAUUUCGAGGAUCUGAUACGCUCUGAUCACUUGUUUACUAGCAUUUUGCUUUUCUUCAUCCACCACUUCACCACAAGCACUUUUGAGUUUAUCAUUUAUUGUCAAAUUUAUACAACUGGUGAGUUGGACGGCAUGCGAAGUGGUCAAGAACUUCUAUUGAUAAUGAAGAAGAGGUGGCCAUUGUAGGAGGAGGAGAAAAAUGCAGCUACGCAACGGAGGAGGCUGUUGUGGCGGUAUUGGAAGGAAGUGGAGUUUUAUGGUGGUUUGAUUUUGGGUUAAUAUUGUUUGAUUGUGUGACAACAGAGUGGUGGAGCUAGACAAAUGAAGAGUUAGGGAGCAAGUCAUGGUGAAGGAUAGAGUGGAAUGAAUCAUUAUCUCCUUUAGAGCUUUCUACAAUCUGCUCUGGAUUUAGGGGUUGAAUUUGGACGUAAUUACUAUGUGAUUUAUAGUUUGAAUUAAGUUUAAGAGUAUUAAUCAAAUAUCUUAUUUUUUGAGGUAGUUGACCUAAUUUUCCCUUUCAUAAUUGUAAUAUUAUGAAUCG
rnacentral:lncRNA from 1 species